UCCCUUCUGUUUGUUGGCACAAAAACAAAUGUCACGUGAGAAGCGCUUCUUUUCAAUCAAUAGAAUUGAUUGUUGAUCCUAAUUAAUUUCUUCUCCUUUAGUUUCUAAUUGUUGUAACAAUGUGAAUAGACGACAAUCAGUUGAUCAUCUUUUCAAAUUAAUUAAUGUAACUGAUUCAAGAUAAUUAUGGUACUAUUUUGGUUAAUGGACAGUUAAUUAAAUUGGAUAAAGAAAUUGGAUACUCACCGUUUUGUUCAAUUUGAUUGUUGGACUUUCAUCAAUGUUAAUCACUCCAUAGGUUUAAUUGUGUUUCUAUAGUUGUAAAGGUGAUUUUGUUUUAUGACAAUUGGUAAUGUUAACACUAUCAACAAAUGAGCUGUCUAUCAAUUAGAUUAACUUUAACAUGAUUAGUGAUCAACAAAAGGUAAAGAUAAUUGUGUAUUAAGAUUUCCUGAUAAACAAGGAAAAUGGUGAUGGUUAAUUGUUUUGGUUAAUCCUUUUCAAAUGGUAAACAGGUUCAAUCAGGUAAGUGUUUCUUUCUGAUAGUAAAUAGCUGACAAAAAAUAUCACUAAUUGUAAUCAAAUUUGGUUAACCAAGGAAAAGUUGUUUUAAUAAUGGUGAUUUUCAUUUA